AACGAACGCUGGCGGCAUGCCUAACACAUGCCAGUCGAACGCGACAUUCGGGUAUAGUUGCGCACGGGAGGGUCACGCGAGGGAACCUGCCCUUAGGUUCGGUAUAACUCUCCGCAGGGGGUGCUAAUAGCGGAUGAAUUCUUCGGCCCAAUGAUUAAUUGCAUUUGGAUGGGUCGGCUUUAGAUUAGCAAGUUGGUAAGUUAAAGGACUACCAAGGCUACGAUACAUAGCUGGUCUGAGAGGAUGAUCAGCCACACUGGGACUGUCACACGGCCCAGACUCCUACGGGAGGAAGCAGUGGGGAAUAUUGGACAAUGGGCGAAAGCCUGAUCCAGCAAUGCCGCGUGAGUGAGGAAGGCCUGAGGGUUGUAAAGCUGUUUUACACGGGAAGAUAAUGACAGUACCGGGAGAAUAAGCUCCGGCUAACUCCGUG
rnacentral:rRNA from 1 species